UACGAAGGGGGCUAGCGUUGCUCGGAAUCGCUGGGCGUAAAGCGCACGUAGGCGGAUCUUUAAGUCAGGGGUGAAAUCCCAAGGCUCAACCUUGGAACUGCCUUUGAUACUGGGGAUCUCGAGUCCGGAAGAGGUUGGUGGAACUGCGAGUGUAGAGGUGAAAUUCGUAGAUAUUCGCAAGAACACCAGUGGCGAAGGCGGCCAACUGGUCCGGUACUGACGCUGAGGUGCGAAAGCGUGGGGAGCAAACAGG
rnacentral:rRNA from 1 species